CUAAAGUUGGUUUAGAAAAGUAGUUUGAAGUGAUUUGUAAAAGUAUAUAGGCAACUUUUGUAAUUUUAAAAAGUGACGUUGCGUCUUGUAAAGGGGCAUUUUUCUGGAUCAGACCGGUCUUCAGCAAAUCACAUUUUGGGUAUACAAUGACGGAUUUAAUCGGGAAAAAGACCCAAUUGUGAUGUUUAUGUGACAUAUAGGAGUGCCAAGAAAGAAGCUCGUCGAAGGACCCUACAUCAGGAGACAGAAGCAUCAGUCGUACACAAUUUCGUGGAUGUUAAGAGGUGGAAUUAACUCCAACCAGAAUAGAAGAGCUGCUGUUUUUCCCUGCCUUCCACAAUUCCUGGAGCAGGAUCCAUCCAACUUCAUCAAGAUCUGCCAGGACCUGAGCCCUUGGACCAUGCUUCAGGACUACCUGCCAUGAUGACUCCUUGCUGUCCCCAGUCCACUCGGCCUUGCUGCUGUUCCAGUUUCAACUGUUCUGCCUGCGGCUAUGGAACCCUAAACUGUUCAUUUUUACUCUUGAGGUGCUGUCCUGUUGCACCCUCUACAACCACUGUGAUCUCCACCCGGCACAGCCAGAAAAGGACUGGCCACUCCUCAUAGCCUGGUUCCUCUCUAGGUUUCUUCCUAGGUUUUUGCCUUUCUAGGGAGUUUUUACUAGCCACCGUGCUUCUACACCUGCAUUGCUUGCUGUUUGGGGUUUUAGGCUGGGGCUAUAUAAAUAUAUAUGAUUUGAUAGAGGACUGAGGGUCUUCCAAAUAUUGAAAGUGUAUAAAUAGUGUAAAUAGUUACCCAUGUUAUUUUGUAAAUGUAUAUCAAUAAUAAAAAUUAAAAAUAAGAAUACCAUUUUGGUAUUUUGUAUAUAAUUAUUUGUUUCAAAAUGUAUACCUUCACCAAUUUGGCCACUUGGGUACAUUUGGGCUACUUGUGUGGAACUCCUGGGUGACAUCAUGAUAAAUGUAGCACACUCAUUUUGGAAGUUAUCAUUCUGAAACUUUGCACAAGUACUGUUGCCCUCUUAUAUUUUUCACUGAAUUUGUCCCCGUCAUCCUAUCUGAAUGUUUGUUCUAUCUUGUUCAUUUUAAAGAUGGUGAUACAAAAAUAAAAAAUAA
ensembl:lncRNA